rnacentral:lncRNA from 1 species
GAAAAAGGGAGGUACAGACAGUGAUUGACUCAUCUAGACAACUAUGGGUCAGGACUCGAGAUUUGGCUCUGAUACCACUUGAAAAAGCUAUAGUUCGACCCAACCAACACCUAGAGGGGGGGUGAAUAGGUGUUUAUGCGGAAUUAAGGCAAUUAAUUAACUUAUGCAACAAGUCACAUAAAUUAUGCAUUGUCCAGAUUCAUUCACAUACUUUAUCUACCUAAGUUGAAUUACCG